rnacentral:rRNA from 1 species
GAAAAGCCUCUAGGAAGAGUAGUACUGCCCGUACCGCAAACCGACACAGGUAGAUGAGGAGAGAAUCCUAAGGUGAGCGAGAGAACUCUCGUUAAGGAACUCGGCAAAAUGACCCCGUAACUUCGGGGGAAGGGGUGCUCUAUUAGGGUGCAAGCCCGAGAGAGCCGCAGUGAAUAGGCCCAGGCGACUGUUUAGCAAAAACACAGGUCUCUGCAAAACCGUAAGGUGACGUAUAGGGGCUGACGCCUGCCCGGU